AGCCCGCACUUGAUUAGUUUGUUGGUGGGGUAAUGGCCUACCAAGACAAUGAUCAAUAGCUGAUUUGAGAGGAUGAUCAGCCACAUUGGGACUGAGACACGGCCCAAACUCCUACGGGAGGCAGCAGUAGGGAAUCUUGCACAAUGGGGGAAACCCUGAUGCAGCGAUGCCGCGUGAGUGAAGAAGGCCCUUGGGUUGUAAAGCUGCUUUCGUCGGGGAAGAAAAUGACUGUACUCGAAUAAGAAGGCCCGG
rnacentral:rRNA from 1 species